rnacentral:rRNA from 1 species
GAUGAACGCUAGCUACAGGCUUAACACAUGCAAGUCGAGGGACCGGCGCACGGGUGAGUAACACGUAACCAACCUGCCCUUUACUCGGGGAUAGCCUUUCGAAAGAAAGAUUAAUACCCGAUAUAAAGGAUGGGGAUGCGUUCCAUUAGGUUGUUGGGAAGGGAACGGCUCACCAAGCCUUCGAUGGAUAGGGGUUCGGAGAGGAAGGGCCCCCACAUUGGAACCGAGACACAGUCCAAACUCGUACGGGAGGCAGCAGUGAGGAAUAUUGGUCAAUGGGCGCUGUCCUGAACCAGCCAAGUAGCGUGAAGGAUGAAGGCUUAUGGGUCGUAAACUUCUUUUAUAUAAGAAUAUGUAUUAUAUGAAUAAGGAUCGGCUAACUCCGUGCCAGCAGCCGCGGUAAUUC